GCUUACGGCCAUAUCAGCCUGGGUACGCCCGAUCUCGUCUGAUCUCGGAAGCUAAGCACGGUCGGUCCUGGUUAGUACUUGGAUGGGAGACCGCCUGGAAAUACCAGGUGCUGUAAGCA
rnacentral:rRNA from 1 species